rnacentral:rRNA from 1 species
AACGAACGCUGGCGGCAUGCCUAACACAUGCAAGUCGAACGAGAGCUUCGUGUGUAGUGGCGCACGGGGGCGUAACGUGUGGGAAGGUGCCCUUAGGCUCGGAAUAACUCUCUGAAAGGGGGGCUAAUACCGGGAAACGUAUGCGGACAAAAGGUAGGUCGUCUUUGGAUGCGCCGGAGUUGUUUUAGCUUGGUGCGAGGGUAAAAGCCUAUGAAGGCGUCGCUCGAUAGCUGGGCUGAGAGGAUGAUCAGCCACACUGAGACUAGGACACGGCCCAGACUCCUGCGGGAGGCAGCAGUGGGGAAUAUUGGACUAUCGGCGAAAGCCUGAUCCAGCAAUGCCGCGUGAGUGAUGAAGGCCUUAGGGUUGUAAAGCUCUUUUACCCGGGAUGAUAAUGACAGUACCGGGAGAAUAAGCACCGGCUAACUCCGUG